GGCACCCGCGGCAGGGCAGCACUUAGCCCCUCUACCGGCUCCUUGUCUUUACAGGAAGGGGCUGUCGGCAUUAGCCUCACUGACUGCACCUGGGUCUCCUCUGGCCCCGGCUCGCAGCCCAGCAGAAUCAGGGGGCCAUCGCCUGACCUCCACAGUGCAUCAUGUCCUUCCUCACAGCUCCUCACCCAGUGCAAAGGCAGCGCAAACGAGGCCAGGAAGGCAAAGGAGACAGCGAGUAAUAUUUGUCCAGUCAUCUGUUUAACAAGUCCUAGAAGGGAGUCUGCUCCAGGGCUGGGGGCCUGCCCCUGGGAUACCUCUGCAGUAAUUUCUGGAGCCAUGCUUGGUCAGUCUGGCAGGGAACACAGUCAGUCAGUUGGCUCCUGGAGCGAUGGGUUGGUGGGCAGAGCUGGAGACUGCAAAAAGUGAGGAGCAGGCUGCAGGACGCUAGAAGAAAGGAGAAAAGUGGCAGCUGCUGGGCAACGGGUGUGUAGUAAGAAAGCAUGAGGCAGGGAAUAGAGCAGCAAGAGAAAGCUGAGGACAGGGAGCCCAGCAGAGGUGGAGAACGAAGCAGCAGAGAGGGAGUAGUAGCAGGACAGAGAAAGAAAAAUAAGGACAUGGAGCAGGAUGGAGAUGUAGAAAAAUCCUGGGACAGGCAGCAUGAUGGGGUGGGGGAGAAGAAUAGGAGCAGAGGGCUGAGGGGAGAGAGAGACAAAAAAAGCGACAGGGCAGAGAGGGAGGAUAAAACAAGGACGGGGAGCUGGAACAGCCAAGGAUGGAGGAAAGGGACAGGGCAUGGGGAACAACAAAAAACAAAACAUAGAGCUACACACUACAGGGCAGAGAGGGAAUAAUUAAGAAAUAGGGAUAGGGAGCCAGAAAAAGGAAGAUCACUGGAGGGCAAAUAGAAUAGCACUGUGUACAGAAAGCAGAAAGGGGGGAAUUCUAAAACAGGGUCAUCGGGAAGCCAGAGAUAGUGAGAUCGGAGAAAGGACAAAGGCAACAGGCUACAAGGUAGAGACGGAAGAGUUGAAGAAGAGGGACAGAGAGCUGGCCUGAGAUGGAUAAAUGCAAAAGAUCACACAGGCUAUGUAGCAAAGGGAGAAAUUAAAAAUGCAGGGACAGGCAGCCAGAGGAGCCAGCAGAAAUAAAAUAGGAAAAAGUGAUGGGCCACAGGUCUAAGAGGAAAGAAUUGAUAAGUAAGGACAAGGACCAGACAGAGCAUGAUGGAGAGAAUAAAAAAAAAAAAUAGCAGUGGGCCACAGGGAAAAGGGAGGAAUUAAAGGACAGGGGCUGGGAGCCAGACAGAGAGAUAUGGAGAAAGAAAAAAGAAGGUUGGGGUGAAAACCAAACAGUAAUGGUCUACAAGAUGGAUAGGGAGGAAAUAAAAAAAUACUAGCAAGGAACUGGACAAAGAGGCAUGAAGACAGACAGACAAACAAAUACAUGGGGCUAUGGAACAGAAUGUGGAAUUAAAACACAGGAGAGAGAGGGUCAGAGAGAGGCAGAGAAGGGUAAAACCACAGUGAGCUCCAAGUCAGAAAAGGAGGAAUUUCAUAAAGGAAGGGACAAGGAGACAAGGAGCCAUAAAGAGAGAGACAGAGAAAGGGAAGAUAGUGGCGGGCCAUAUGGCAGAAAGGGCAGAAUUAAAAUGUGGGGACAGGGAGCUGGACAGUAAGCAACGGAGAAAGAAAGAAAAAACUGCAACAGGCUUCAGGGCAGAGAGUGAGGAAAUACAGACUCGUGACAGGAAGCAGGACAGAGAAUAUUAGAAUAGUGAUGGGUUGCAGGGCAGAGAGGGAAGAAUUAAAAAAUGGGGACAGGGAGCCAGACAGAGAGACACAGAGAAGGACAAAACAGUUAUGGGCUACCAGAUAGGGAGGAAUUCAAAUAUCCUGGUGUGGAGCUGGACAGGGAAAGAUGUCAAAAGAAAUGAAAUAUUUUUUUAUGAGAGAGAGAGAGACUGAGAAAUAGGAGCGGGGAAGCAACAGGCCGCAUAUGAGCGCAGCUAAUUGUAUGAACUAGAACAGUAUCCGUUCAGAAUUCACUGCCUGAAAACUUUGUUCCUGCAGUGUUUUUUCAUUCUCAUUUCAGAUCCUGGUAUAUUAUACAUUUGCAUGUACUGGGGGG